UACGGAGGGGGCUAGCGUUGCUCGGAAUCACUGGGCGUAAAGCGCACGUAGGCGGCUUUUUAAGUCAGGGGUGAAAUCCUGGAGCUCAACUCCAGAACUGCCUUUGAUACUGGGAAGCUUGAGUUCGGGAGAGGUGAGUGGAACUGCGAGUGUAGAGGUGAAAUUCGUAGAUAUUCGCAAGAACACCAGUGGCGAAGGCGGCUCACUGGCCCGAUACUGACGCUGAGGUGCGAAAGCGUGGGGAGCAAACAGG
rnacentral:rRNA from 1 species